UAAACGGCCGCGGGAUCCUCCACCGUGCAAAGGUAGCAUAAUCACUUGUCCCCUAAAUAGUGACUAGUAUGAACGGCCAAAUGAAGGUUUAACUGUCUCUUAUAAUUAAUCUAUGAAAUUAAUCUUCCAGUACAAAAACUGGAAUAAAAACAUAAGACGAAAAGACCCUGUGGAACUUUAAAUAAUAACCAUUACAAUGAUAUUAAACUUUUAGUUGGGGCAACUCUGGAAAUAAACCAAACUUCUAGUUAUAUUAAAGAUAGACAUAUCUACCUUAUUAUGACCCAGUCUUACUGAUCAAAGAACCAAGCUACCCCAGGGAUAACAGCGCCAUCCCCUCCAAGAGCCCAAAUCGACGAGUGGGGUUUACGACCUCGAUGUUGGAUCAGGACCCCCAAACAGUGCAACAGCUGUUAACGGUUUGUUUGUUCAACAAUUAAUAGUCCUACGUGAUCUGAGUUAU
rnacentral:rRNA from 1 species